GACGAACCGAGCGAACGUUGUUCGGAAUCACUGGGCUUAAAGGGCGCGUAGGCGGAUGUGUCAGUCAGGGGUGAAAUCCCGGAGCUCAACUUCGGAACUGCCUUCGAUACUGGAGAGCUCGAGUCCGGGAGAGGUGAGUGGAACUGCGAGUGUAGAGGUGAAAUUCGUAGAUAUUCGCAAGAACACCAGUGGCGAAGGCGGCCUCAGCUGGCCCGGUACUGACGCUGAGGUGCGAAGCGUGGGGAGCAAACAGG
rnacentral:rRNA from 1 species